rnacentral:lncRNA from 1 species
CAUUGCUGUGCUACCUGGGAUGGGCCCGAUUUACCGGAGAUUGUACCUCCUGGGAUUUGAAGCCUACCCUGACGAUUGAGUGCGGAAGUUAGCCGCUCCCUAUUUCUGCAGUGUACCAGCCCUCUCCAAUUCAACUUUGCUGCCCUGUUCCCCCCACCCUUGGACCAGUGGUGCCUGGCCCCCAUGGAAAGGUAAUAAAACAAUGGAUUAAAUACUGCACCAGUAAACAAAAUGACAAUUCGGGAUCAAUCUAAAAAACACAAAUAACAUAACAUAGUGCAAAAUGUAUAUAUAUAAUGAUAGACCCCUUAUGUAGAGUAAAACUCACAGCAUUUAGAGCCAUCCCAGGCUCUAUAUAAUAUGCAGGAGGGUGCCUAAAAAGGCUAAAACGAUAUCCUUGAGGAGAGCAGCACAGGAUACAAAGUGCAGAAUGCAAAAUUUAUUGAACAAAUAAAAAAUUAAAACAGGGACAAUAAGCAGUGUAUAAAUAGUAAAAUAUACUAGGCACAAAGCCUAAAUAAAGCACCGCAGAGUAAAUAAGAAAAAGUCCCAGAUACAAUACUUUGGUCUAGCAGCAAACACAUUUUAACUUCAGCUGGAGUCUUCCUUAGUGCUGUGGUGCUCUCUGUGAAAAGGUAACUGGCUGGAGUGGGCACUGGAGGUGAAAGCCUAAUUGCUUUCAGAUGGCUGAGAAACCAAACACGCUGUCUGACAUGUGGAUGAUAGAGUUAUUGGCAGCCUUUGAAUAUAUAAGCAAUAAAUGCGAAGACUUCUUAGCCCGAAUAACACAUAGAUCAAUCCAGCCGAACCACACAAUCUAUUUCCUGGAGAGUGGUGGAAGUUGAUGCAGAGGGAGGCCACAGGCACCUACACCGGGCAUACCUGUCAGGACCAGCAAGAUGGCUCAUCUGAAAUUCCUACCCGAGCAGAGAGCUCACAGAGUUAACCUUGCGUCACCGUCCAUACCCGUGGAGGGGGCUUGGAUGAGUCAUCGGGCAAACCGUUUACGAUCAAGACCCCUGAAGGGGAUAGACUUUGGUACUACUAGAUGCUAGGUUUGCGGAGACUUGGUGUCGGCUCUUACUGACACUCAGGGAUGGUGUGGUAACCACGUUUGGCCUACCUGAUGUGCUUUGACCAACGAAUCUCAUGUGAGAGCGCAGCUCUCAAUUAGACUGGGCAUCGGCUGACACAGGCCUACUUCUGGGGCUCCCGGUUCUCACAUAGCACCCUCACAGGCGCUUUGAACACAAUAUCUGCUGGGAGGCUUUCCUUAUAGCAUUGUUGCCUCAACUGCCAGUGCCAAUUUUGUCAAGUUUGUCUUUUUUUUGUUUUCUUUAUCUGGCACUGUUCUGCAUUUAUUUACUAAGCAUGUUAUAUAUUUUUUAUUUUAUUAUUAUUUGAAGCAUGUCAUUAGUCAAGUCAUAUUGUUAGAAUGUAUUGCCUGAUUUUACCUUUCUGCUAUACAUGCUUUCUCCUCUACUGCCAUUCUGCGUGACGUACUUCAAUGUGAUACCACAUUUACACAAUUUCUUUGCUCUCCACUUUUUAUUUUAUUAUAUUUUUAUCUAUUUGACUUGGUCUGCGCUAGGAUUUUUUCCCUUGGGUUUAAAGCACUAAAGUGAGUAGCUGCAUAAUUAUAUUUAGUUUAUUAUAAGGAUUUCAUUAUAAAUCUUUUUUAAAAGUAACAAUUUUAUUCAAAAGCUUUUUUCCCUAUAUAUAUAUAUCCUGGAUCAUAUCAUAUAUAUAUAAGAAAACUGAGAUGCUUGCACUCCUGGAUUAGAGAGUAAUUGCCCGGUGCUGGUCAGGCACGAGAUACAAAAAAAAGAUUGGAAAUGACCGCACUCCAAGGACUUGUUGAUAGUAAAAAUAAAAUAUAACUUUUAUUCUAUAUCAUAUAAAAAAAUAUACAUGGGCUUUCAUCAGGAUGGCAAUACAAUACGCAAAUACAUAUAAAAUACUUAUACAGCAAAACAUAAAAGGAUACUAACCAGCUUCAUGUGUGAGAGAACCGAAAUGGCAUUCAAACUGCACGUGUAACAGCUGAUCAGAGUGCUUCAACCGUAGUUGCUAGGCACUGCGUUCCAUUUGGUUGCUUGGUGAUCAGUGAAACGCAAUUUCACCCGAUUGCUAUGCUGUUAGAUCAGUAGACACAGAGCUGGUAUUGCUGUGUGUAUGGAUCGUGAAAUCAUUCUCUCUGCCUGCUACUUUCUGGCACUGUGUCUGGAAUGCAAUUGAUACAAAGUAUCAGUAGGCACCAUACAUCGAUGUGCUGCAGCACUAACAGGAUAGAGCCCUUGACAGGACUUCAGUCUGGCAGAGUGCAAAUACCAUCACACUCAGUCAGCUGGGUCUUCACUUCUCACAAAUAAAGGGGUGAUAUAAGUGCCGAUUGUGAGAUCUUAUCCUCAACCAAAUGCAACGCAGUGCCUAGCAACUACGGUUGAAGCACUCUGAUCAGCUGUUCCACGUUUUAACGCCAUUUCGGUUCUCUCACACAUGAAGCUGGUAUUUUAUAUGUAUUUGUGUAUUGUAUUGCCAUCCUGAUGAAAGCCCAUGUAUUGGGGCUGAAACGUCGAUAUUGUUUUAUAUGAUAUUGAAUAAAAGUUAUAUUUUAUUUUUACUAUCAACAAGUCCUUGGAGUGCGGUCAUUUCCAAUCAUUUUUUUUUGUAUCUUGUGCCUGACCAGCACCGGGCAAUUACUCUCUAAUCCAGGAGUGCAAGCAUCUCAGUUUUCUUGUAUCUGUGGACUCCAUGGGCAGGAGCCCUGCCAUGCACCCGGUAUUGAUUUCUCAAGUCUGAAUUUAAUAAGACAAUUAUCAGCGUAACUUGAGUGUCUAUAUUUACACAUUUUUUUUUUUAUAUAUUGAGGUCUAUACUUUUCUGUUUUUAUAUUUAUUUUUUUAUAUUUUUUAUGGAAGAUUUUUUGGAACAAGCAGGAGGACUGUUAGAGCAAGCCGAAAUCCUCCAAUACACUGAUGAUGACGCAGCUAGGAUCAGGUGGGACACCGCAACCACUGACCUUCCAAGCACUACUUCUCUUACUGACAUUUAUCAUGAACUGCUACGUCUAAGAAAGAGAGAAACAGAUUUGGACCUGCAUGGAUUAUUCCUGUCUGACUAUCACCGCAAACUUCAAAUACCGUGUGGAUUUUGGGUAAGAAAUAUCCCUACUAUUGGCCGUUUAAAACCUAAAGUCUGUAAAAAAUGGAUAGCGGUCCUUAACAAAUGUUCCCUGGACCUUAUGCUUGUAAUAAUAGUAAUGAUGUAAAGGAAGAUUUAACAGUGGUUAGGAAAAAAAUCGUGGAGCUUGAAUCAAAGCAAGCAUUAUUACUUUCAUCCACUGAAGCAGCUCCAACAAUUUUGAAGCUGGAAGAGAAUCUAAAAGUCUAUAAAACAGACCUAAUUAGGUUUAAGAGAGACAAGCAAGUUAAAGUUGAAGGUGACUAUAAAGAUCACAGGGUCUAUAAAUGGCUCGCAGGUCACACUGAGAGACCAUUCCCGUAUAGACGUAGAAAACCGAUAAGAAAACCAAGACAGUAUACAGUUGAUCAAACCUCAGGGAAUUCUUCAUCGGAAUCAGACAUACAUUAUACAACCACGAGCGCACCAGAAAGGGAGCCUUUUUUAGAGUCAGACCCAGGAUCAUCCAGGAUCCACACGAGACUAACCACACAACUAGAAGCCGAAGGCAUAGCACCAGGCGUGGGCAAAAGGGCAGAGCCUAUAGGACCACGAUACAAACCUCCCAGACCACCUAAAUUAUACCAAUUUUUAAUCUUUCAUCGAGAACUCUCACCAGGGAUGAGGAACAACUCCUCAUGAAAGGACUUUCCUUUGUAACUAAUCCCCCUAAUGCAUUUGACAGUGAAAUUGAACUGUUUAAAUUUGGGAGAAAUCUGCGUUUGAAAGAAUUUUUUAAAGGGACGGUACAAUCUACUGAUUCCAAUAUGCACCAAUUCAGAGUUAAGAGCACAUUCGACCCUGCAACUUCUCAUGCUUCUAUUAAAACUUUCUUGAGAAAUGUACAACAAGAAAUGAACAAAGCAGCCCACAACAGAGGAACACAACAGUCCAAUAUCACGAAGAAAGAGAGAAGCAUCAUACAAUCACUGGCCCAGGACAAAACUCUUGUCAUCAGACCUGCAGACAAGGAAGGCGGGAUUGAACCCAUUGCCAAAUGGCUUGAUUUUCUAUUCAAAAGCAGCAUUGAAGCUAUUCCAACAUGCCUUAAAGACACAUCAGAUCUUUUGAAACAACUAAAUCAAAUUACUUUACCUGAUGGCCCAAUAACAUUGUCCACCUGCGACAUUAAAAGUCUUUACACCAUAAUACCGCACAAAGACGGUGUCGAGGCUAUGCGUACUACGCUAAGUGAAUUUGGAGUAUAUGAUGGACCUCCUAUUGAAUUCGUGUUAGAACUAUUGGAAUUGGUACUAACACUGAAUUAUUUCAGAUUUGAGCAUUUGUGGUAUAAACAAAUCUCGGGCACCUCGAUGGGUGCAGAAAUGGCGCCUAAUUAUGCCAACAGUUUCAUGUAUAGUUUUGAGAAGGACAAUAUCUUACAACCAUACUCUAACAAUAUCAUCUUUUAUAGACGUUUUAUUGAUGACCUGUUUUUUGUGUGGAAAGGUGACGCACAAUCAAUGUCGACGAUGGUCCAGGAGAUCAAUGACAUGAACACACCGGUGAAAUUAACACUAACAGCAAGUACAGAUGGUGUUGAUUUUCUUGAUGUCCAUAUAUUCAGACAAAACAACCAACUGGCUUAUAGUCUGUACACAAAGCCUACUGACAGAAAUACAAUACUGCAUUCGGCUAGCUUCCACCCGAAACACCUUAAAGCCUCAUUACCGUAUUCACAAUUCCUAAGGGUACUUAGAAAUAACUCGGAACCCCAGACAGCACAACAACAAAUCAUUCAAAUGUGGAAUAAGUUUGAGGAAAGAGGCUACAGCAAUCGAACACUACAGCAGGCAUGGGAUAAAUGCCAGGCAAACACCGUCACAGACACUUCAAAUAUCUCUAGAUUGGUUUUUCCAAGCACCUUCACCACAAUGUCAUCCAAAUUGAAAGAAACAGUGGACUCCUAUUGGCAUAUUCUAGCCAACGAUCCAACAUUGCCAGCAGAAUUCCGACAACCACCUAUGAUGAGCUAUCGGCGGGGCAAGAAUUUCCGUGAUCUUUUAGUUAAAAUGGACCCCACACAUUGAUACAUGAAGGAACAACAGCAAACGAAUGUGGGCUGUUACCGAUGUCUGGGAUGCGUCACGUGUGGCCAUAUGAUUCCUAGUAAAACCUUCCUCCAUCCACACACAGGGAAACAAUAUAAAAUACGUCACAGACUGACAUGUACGACUGUUUUUGUCAUAUACAAACUACAGUGCCCAUGUGGAUUAUCCUACAUAGGGAAAACAGACCUACCACUCAGAGAAAGAAUUAGGAACAAUCGGUCUAAUAUCAGAGUGGCAUACAGGGAGAAAAAAGCAGAACUGCCAGUAGCCAAACAUUUUUUGGCAAUGGGACACCAACUCCCGACUCUCAAAUUCACAGCUAUUGAUCAUGUACCUCCCCUGCUACGGGGUGGUGAUCGGAAAAAACUCUUGUUACAGCGUGAAACAUUCUGGAUUAGGACAUUAGACACAGUGUGGCCUAAAGGUCUUAAUGAAAAAGUGUCAUUCUCCAUGUUUCUAUAAAUCUAUAUAUCUGCAAUCUUGAUUAUAACCAAUAGAUUUUUGUGACUCUGUGAAUGUAUUAUUCACGGGUAUUUCUCCCUUUCUGUGGGAUUUAAUUACCUACAUUUAUCUCUCUUCCAUUUUUUUCGCUCUAGAUGGAAGUUUUUUCAGAACUAUCUUCAUUCAAAACAAUGGGUAUAGGGGAUUUUUUCUGUAUUCACCCAAUAUGUUUAACUUUUAUAUCUUUAAAAUCAAAAGUUUAAUGUAAUUAUGUCUAGUCAUCUUAGUCAAACAUGAAUGUAAUCUUACCCAAUAUAUAAUAUUUGGAUGCACUUAAACAGCGUCUCUAAUAACAUAGUAGUCAGUGCUUAUAAUUAUGAUCAGUGCAUUUUCUCAUUUUAUGUAUUAAUGAUAUUGUUUUUCCACAAGUUAGGUAACAAUUAAUCAUUAUUUAUCUUUCAGUCUAGUCGUAUUUAUCUAAUUGUGUUGACCUCUUAUAUUAUCAUUUUUCAAGUAAUAUUGUUUUUAAAUCACUUAAUCCUACUUCAUGUGGUUUAGAGAUUCUGAUGUCAUUAUUAUGCCGCAAUUUACCUUUUACCUAUUCCUGUCUUUCUUAUUCUCCUCUAAGCCAUUGGUUCUACAAAAAAAACCCCACCCUACAAUUCAAGCUUUAAUAUAUGCUUUUAUGUAUUUACACAUUUUCUCCUGCUAGGAAUUAGGGAGUACCAUUUAAAUAUAGCUAUAUGGGGGGGUAGUUUGACUAUAACAUAAUGGACUUGGCAGUAUUUGUCCAUCUCUACACAGCUCCAUAUUGGCUGGUUUACAAAAUAAUAGUGUGGCUUUAUAUUCUGUUUACAACACUCUUCCAACUUCUCUUUGGGCACUUAUAUCCCCCCUCUAUUUGUGAGAAGUGAAGACCCAUGCUGGCUUAGUGUGAUGGUACUUGCACUCUGCCAGAGUGGAGUCCUGUUAAGGUCUCAAUCCUGUUAGUGCAGCAUCACAUCAUAUAUGGUGCUUACUGAUACUUUGUAUCAAUUACAUUCCAGGCACAGUGACAGAAAUUAGCAGUCAGAGGAUAAGAUCUCACAAUCGGCACUUAUAUCACCCCUUUAUUUGUGAGAAGUGAAGACCCAGCUGGCUGAGUGUGAUGGUAUUUGCACUCUGCCAGACUGAAGUCCUGUCAAUGGCUCUAUCCUGUUAGUGCUGCAGCACAUCAAUGUAUGGGGCCUACUGAUACUUUGUAUCAAUUGCAUUCCAGAUACAGUGCCAGAAAGUAGCAGGCAGAGGGAAUGAUUUUACCAUCCAUACA